UAAAACAUAUAAUUCUGCAAAACGUAUGAACAAUUCAACUAUGUUCACAUGCUAACUUUAAGUCUAGAUUUCAUGCUUAUGUUUGUGUUACAUAUACCAUGAUGAAACACACACGCAUUCUGAAGUUUAUUUUUAGCACAACAUCUAUAAUUCAGAAUCCUAAUACACUUGAAGCGCUCAUUGUAUAUGAAUCUAACAUAACUCUAAUUCAACAUCCAUACUACCAUGAUAGCGCGUUUUAGAGUGAAAUUAAUUUAUACUACAACUACACUGGAUAGAGUACUCAUAAUAUGCUGAAAACUAGG
rnacentral:lncRNA from 1 species